rnacentral:rRNA from 1 species
CCUACGGGUGGCAGCAGUGGGGGAUAUUGCACAAUGGGGGCAACCCUGAUGCAGCAACGCCGCGUGGGCGAAGAAGUAUUUCGGUAUGUAAAGUCCUUUCAGCAGGGACGAAGAAAUGACGGUAACUGAGUAAGAAGCACCGGCUAAAUACGUGCCAGCAGCCGCGGUAAUACGUAGGGUGGAAGCGUUUUCCGGCUGUACUGGGUGUAAAGGGAGCGCAGGCGGCACGGUAAGCCUGAUGUGAAAGCCCGGGGCCCAACCGCGGGACUGCAUUGGGAACUAACGGGCUGGAGUGUAAGAGAGGUAGGCGGAAUGCCUAGUGUAGCGGUGAAAUGCGUAGAUAUUAGGAGGAACACCAGUGGCGAAGGCGGCCUACUGGACGGUGACUGACGCUGAGGCUCGAAAGCGUGGGUAGCAAACAGGAUUAGAUACCCCUGUAGUC